CGACGGGUGAGUAACGCGUGGAAACCUGCCGUAUACUGGGGGAUAACACUUAGAAAUAGGUGCUAAUACCGCAUAAGCGCACAGCUUCGCAUGAAGCGGUGUGAAAAACUCUGGUGGUAUACGAUGGUUCCGCGUCUGAUUAGCUAGUUGGUGGAGUAAUGGCCUACCAAGGCAACGAUCAGUAGCCGGCCUGAGAGGGUGAACGGCCACAUUGGGACUGAGACACGGCCCAAACUCCUACGGGAGGCAGCAG
rnacentral:rRNA from 1 species